ensembl:lncRNA
AUGGAGGAGUCGCGAGACCUGCUCAGGGGCUCCUCGUCCUCGUUCUGCUGCUGCUCCUCUGCUCGUCUUUUCCUCUUCUUCUUCUUCUUGCGAGGCUUGUCGGACGCAUGCCGUGGGCUCUCCUGUAGGGGCUGGGGGGGCGGCGGCAGCGAUGACUCCGGUGCUGUAGCAGUCGUCGUCACGGUGAUGGUGCGCUUGAUAGCAAACAAGUCAGAGCCGUUGAGGUCCUGGAUAGAUGGAGGCACGACAGGUCGGCCGUCCUGCCGCCGCCUGUCCCUCUCUCUGUCCCCGUCUCUUCGCUCCUGGCCCUCCUUCGCCUUUUUCCGGCUGCCCCCCCUUCCAUCUUUGCUGCUGGACUUCUCAGGUCUGUCUCUCCUCUCCUUCUUCUGCUUACCCUUCCUGCUGCAGUCUCGCUCGCGUCCCCUUUCCCUUUUCUCCCGUCUGUCCCGGUUGCGCUCUCUAUCCCGGAUCCAGUCCCUGCGUCUGUCCUCGGAGGGGCUGGACGAAGAGUGCUGCCGAUGCUUUUGCCGGUGGGAGGAGAGCCGUGAGCGGGAGUGCGAGGAGCGCUUUGAGCUGUUCUUCCUUCUCCUCUUGCUGCUGUUGCUCCUGCUGCUCCUGCCUCUGUCGUCCUCCCUCCGUUUCUCCUCGGCUCCCCUCCUGACCUCCCGCUCCGAGACCCUCUCUUUCCUCUCCCGGCUUCCCCUGUCCUUUACCGUUCCCUUGUCCUCCUUCUUGCCGUCCCUCUCCUGCUUCCGCUUGCGUUUCUCCCGCUCCUUGGAACUUUUCCCUGACUUCCUGCUUCGCUCCUUUUCUGCAGCAGCUGGGACGGCUGGCGGUGGAGGAAGGGGGGGCGGCGGGGACAGGGACGAUGAGCAACACGACCUGUAUCUUUCCUUUCGGCGGUUCACCAGUUUUCUCCUCAAGUCCCCAACGCCAUCCCUCUCCCUUCCCACUGCCCAGUCGCCUUCUGCUCUUACAGACACAAAGUCCUCGCCGUCCAGAACACGAAGGAUCCUCUCCGGUUUGGGGCACGAGUGUAGGAAGGGACUACCGGGGACAAGCACCCGUUCCCCUGCGCUGUCCCGCCUCCUGUCCCUCUCGCGGUCACCCACGGCUACGAUCUCGCCCUCUUCGAUUUCUGAGUUGUCCGAUUCAUUGUGCUUUCUCUCUCUUCCUCGUUCUCUUGCCCCCUUCCCAUCACCCCCCCGGGCCUGCUCUCUCUCCUCUUGCAGUUUGGCUGAUGGGGAGGAGGCUGAGGGACCCCUGUCCCUCUUCUUCCGUGGUGCUGCUCCUUCCACGUGCAUCUCUGCUGGGAAUAUGGACUUCCUAGACUUGGAACCAGCUACUUCAGAAGACAUUCUAUCACUCUGGGCUCCCAUCCCCCGCUCCCUCCCUCUCUCUGAGACCGGGGACCCCGUGGGGUCAAAUGGAUCAUAUUUGUCACCAUCCUCCUCGUCUACUUCAUUUUCCUCAUCAGUGGCCCUGCCUUCUCUCUCCCCCUCUCCUUCAGUGGGGUGGAACGGGUCGUAUAUCUCAAUGCUGGACCGUCCCGGGGCGGGGCGGGGCAAGGCGGAUGACACAUGGAUGGAGGGAUUGGAAGAAGAAGGAAGUGCGUGA